AGAAGGGAUGCUCCAAAGAAAACAACGAACAGGAAGAACUCUAUGGAUACAUGCUGUUGGAGCAGGAGAGGUCGCUGCAGAAUUAUUUUCGAAAUUUCAGGACAGUAGUAGUACAGAAACACAACGUCUUGGAAGAGGGGCCCAGAACGCUCUCCCUUAAAGAUGUGAAUUUAACCCUCUCGCCCACUAGCUUUAUUAUUUGUACCAUGGAUAGGCUACAUCCCCAAGUCUCCAUUCAUGAGAGAAGUCCAAUGAGCCAAAAAACGUUUCUAGGAAAAGAACAUUUCAUGUUGUUUCUCAACUCCAUACUUCAACAGAUUCGUGAUCUUAUGGAUCAUCUCCAUAUUUUUGCACUACCUCACUCAAAUGCCUGGAUUAUUCCCUGUUUACUUCUGUCUAGUAGAGUUCCUCUCUUCAUUGAGACAGAGGUCAAGCAUCAUCUGCAUGAAGUUUUUCCUAAUCCUCGAAAUUACAAAUUGCAAAAAAGUAGCUAUUAGAAAAUGCUGCAUCCAUGUCUUCUGGUACUCAGGCAUUAAAGAUCACAAUGGAUGAUAUAAAGUCAACAGAGCUUACUUGUUAAUUGGUAAAUAUGAAUUGUUUCAGAUAUGUUUUGGUUUCACAAGACUUGUAUUUCUUACCAGGCUCAGUUAAUAUUUCUUUGAAUUGACAUUUCUAAGUCAAUCCUCAUAAUUUUUCAAACUUUUUCAUUGUUAUUGUAUCUAUUAUAGUGGUCUGUGAUCAGUGAUCUUUGAUGUUAUUAUUGUAAUUGUAUUGGGGUGCCAUUAACUUUGCCCAUAUGACAGCAAAGUUAAUUGAUAAUUAUUAUGUACGAUCUGACUGCUCUACAAAUCCACAGUGCCCUGCAUCAUUCUUUCCCUCUCCUCUGGCCUCCCUAAUCCCUGAAACUAAAUGAUUUUGAAAUGAUUGCAAGUAAAAUCCCUAUAAUAAACCCUGUGUUCAAGUGAAAGGAAGAGUGAAU
rnacentral:lncRNA from 1 species